rfam:Schistosoma mansoni strain Puerto Rico chromosome W, complete genome
AUCCAACCGACGAGUCCCAAAUAGGACGAAACGCGUGUCCUCGAU